rnacentral:ncRNA from 1 species
CCAGAGAAUUAAAGAGAAGGAACUCGGCAAAAAUUGCUCCAAAGUUUGACAAUAACGGGAAGGAAAAAAACAAAGUUGUACAACUGUUUACUAAAAACACAGCACAUUGCUAAUAUGAAAAUAUUUGUAUAAUGUGUGAACUCUGCUCCAUGUUUAGGCAUAAAAAAAUAUUUUGAAAGAAAUAUUUCUAUAAAACUAAAUAAAUAGCAGCCUUAUCGUGAGGGUUAUAAUGUAGCGAAAUUCCUUGGCCAAUAAAUAUGGUCCAGCAUGAAUGACGUAAUGAUACAACAACUGUCUCCUCUUUAAACUGG